GUGUCAGCAGCCGCGGUAAAACGUAGGACGCAAGCGUUAUCCGGAAUUACUGGGCGUAAAGCGCGUGUAGGCGGAUGGUUAAGUCAUUGGUGAAAGCUCCGGGCUAAACUCGGAGAGGUCCGAUGAUACUGAUCAUCUAGAGGGGGUCAGAGGGGUGUGGAAUUCCGGGUGUAGUGGUGAAAUGCGUAGAGAUCCGGAGGAACACCAGAGGCGAAGGCGACACCCUGGGACCAACCUGACGCUGAGACGCGAAAGCAUGGGGAGCGAACGGGAUUAGAAACCCCGGUAGUCC
rnacentral:rRNA from 1 species